UAUCUCUGUAGAGUCUGCAUAUCAAUAAGCGGAGGAAAAGAAACUAACUAAGGAUUCCCUCAGUAACGGCGAGUGAAGCGGGAAGAGCUCAAGUUUGAAAUCUUCAAGGUUCUACCUUGACGAAUUGUAGUUUAAAGAAGUGUUUUCUGUUGAAGUUUUGGUAAAAGUUCUUUGGAAUAGGACAUCAUAGAGGGUGAGAAUCCCGUAUUUGACCAUUAUUUUCCAGCUGUGUGAUACACUUUCAAAGAGUCGGAUUGUUUGGGAAUGCAGUCCAAAAUGGGUGGUAAGUUUCAUCUAAAGCUAAAUAUUGGCGAGAGACCGAUAGCGAACAAGUACCGUGAGGGAAAGAUGAAAAGAACUUUGAAAAGAGAGUUAAACAGUACGUGAAAUUGUCAAAAGGGAAGCGUUUGACACCAGUGUUGUUUUCUCGAAAAUCAAUUAAAAAGGCAGUGAUUUUGUGUUGUAUUGACCUUUAAUCAGCUUCUGCACUUCAAUUUUCUUGUCUUUUUUUAAUGCACUUUUCGUUUAACAAGUCAACAUCAGUUUCUUUUGUUGUAAAAGGGUCAUUGGAAGGUGGCUUUCUUUUCGGAGAAAGUGUUUAUAGCCUUUGCCUCUGCAAUCGGAGAGAUUGAGGUCUGCAGCGUAGAUCCUUCGGGGUUAGAUACAUUUGUGCUAAGUUAUAGCCUUUUCAUAGACAACUUGUUGACUAUGAUCAGUCAUGUAGCUUACUCGCUUAUGCUAUUUUACCUACGCUUAGGAUGUUGAAGAUAUGCGCGACACG
rnacentral:rRNA from 1 species